rnacentral:lncRNA from 1 species
AAGUCAACAGAGACAGAUGAACAAGGAGCAAUGGAAAUCAAUCAGAAGAGAGACAGCUAAAAUUAGAAAGAAACCAAUUUUUCUUCAGGUGAUUACAUGGCCUCUCCCAAUCUCAUGACCACCACAUUGGCAGAUAUCAUGGCCACUAUUCCAGAAGAUCACAUAGCUGAUUCAGGAGAGCUCCUAUCCACUCAGAUAGAUCUCAUGUCUACUCAGGUAGAACUAAUAGCUAUACAGAUAGACCACACCAUGACCUAGACCACUUCAUAACUACUCAUGUAGACCACAUUAUAACCAUACAGUUAGGCUUCAACAUGGCCACUCACAUAGAUUUCAUCUUAAGCAUACAGUGAGAGUUCUUCCCAGCCACUCAAGGAUAGCUCAUCCUGGCAAUACAGAGAGAGAUAAUCAAGUCCAAAGAGGGAGAGCUCAUGAUAACCAUACAUAGUUAGCUCAUCUUAUUAUUACAGCACAUUUCAUCAUGACCACUCAGGGAGAGCUUAUCAUGGUCAUGCAGGGAAAGCUCAAAACAACUAGUCAUGGAGAGCUCAUAACAACCAGUCAUGGAGAGAUCAUAACAUCCAGUCACAGAGAGGCAGUGACAACCAGACAUGGAGAGGUCAUAAUAAUCAUUCAUGGAGUGCUUGUAACAUCUGGUCACAGAGAGAUCAUUAUGACCGUUCAUUGAGAUCUAGUACCAUCCAGUCAUGGAUGUUUCAUGAAGCAGAAAGAUACCAUGAUUGAAGAGGAAGAAAUGGACCAAGGGCUGCAUCACCACCAGGAACUAAGACAGAAAUUGA